UAGGGAAUCUUCCACAAUGGACGCAAGUCUGAUGGAGCAACGCCGCGUGAGUGAAGAAGGUUUUCGGAUCGUAAAGCUCUGUUGUUGGUGAAGAAGGAUAGAGGUAGUAACUGGCCUUUAUUUGACGGUAAUCAACCAGAAAGUCACGGCUAACUACGUGCCAGCAGCCGCGGUAAUACGUAGGUGGCAAGCGUUGUCCGGAUUUAUUGGGCGUAAAGCGAGCGCAGGCGGAAGAAUAAGUCUGAUGUGAAAGCCCUCGGCUUAACCGAGGAACUGCAUCGGAAACUGUUUUUCUUGAGUGCAGAAGAGGAGAGUGGAAUUCCAUGUGUAGCGGUGGAAUGCGUAGAUAUAUGGAAGAACACCAGUGGCGAAGGCGACUCUCUGGUCUGCAACUGACGAUGAGGCUCGAAAGCAUGGGUAGCGAACAGG
rnacentral:rRNA from 1 species